AUGACUGCAUUACAAACAAGGCUAGAAAAGCAACAACAAAAUUUAAGGACUCUACUGAAGAUGAGCAGGGAAAAAAAAAUACCCACCACCAAACAAACAAUGAAAGGACACACAAUAUCAGGGACAGAAAGCACACAGGGAAGGUGAUGGAGAGCCAGAAAUACAAACAGCCGGCACAGCAGAAAUGAUGGCACAGACUGGGACACCUCAUCCAGGGGAAGCGGCAGCAGAAGGAGCCACUGUGGAAGCUGGCAGUGUUGCGGAGGUGAACCAGAAACAGUCACUGUGCUGGCAACAGGGAGUUCAAAGCAAGCAAAGAGGUGCCCUGCAUGCUUGAUGCACCCAUGCUGCACCACAAACAGCAGCUAAGCAUGUUACAGCUGAAAAUUUGGAUUCACUCAAAAAUUACAUAGACUAAUUCAGAGAAAAAAAAAUCCCUUAAAUGCUAUUAAGUGCCAAGUUAUACCUGGUUGUUCAGGAAAUCCAUAGCCUGUGGGUUAUUAUGAACUGGAAAAGGUUUUCAGAGGAGUAUUGCUUUACACUGUUCUUACAUUGUUUCCUAAAAGUUGCUUUUGGCAACAAGAUGCCAUGUUAGCCAGACCUUUAGUCUACCACAUGACAGCCAUUCUCAUAUUAGGUAAAUUUAUUGUGAAUCUCUCCACUAGUUAAGUCAAGUGAUUAUAUGAUACAUUCAGUUGUCACUGCUAGAAAUAGACAGAGAAAAGCUCCUAGAUUGUGAAUCCUAUCAAUUCAAACAGCAACAAAACCAGCAUGUCAGAUCCCUCUGUGUGUGUGUUUGUGUGUCUGUGUGUGUGUGCACAUACAUGUGCAUGUAUCUUUUUCUACAACUGUAAAUCUUCUCUAUUUCAUGAUAACUGGCUCUCCAUGAACACUUUAAAUGAAUAAUGCUGUGACUCGACUACAAAUUUCUUUCACAUAUUUUAAGUAUUUCUCAUUGAGAAAUGGAAUUGGAAGCCUCUGGUAUAACUCAAAACAAAUCAAACUAAAAAUC